rnacentral:sRNA from 1 species
GCUGAGUGUGGUGGCUCACACCUGUAAUCCCAGGGACACAGGAGGCUGAGGCAAGGGGAUCACAAAUUAGGGACCAGCCUUAGCAAUUUAGUGAGGCUCUGAGCAACUUAGUGAGACCCUAUCUCAA